GGAUGGUUAUAGCUCAGUGGUAGAGCACAUGCUUAGAAUGCAUGAGGUCCUGGGUUCAAUCCUCAGUACCUCCA